ACCUACUCUUGACAUCCAGAGAACUUUCCAGAGAUGGAUUGGUGCCUUCGGGAACUCUGAGACAGGUGCUGCAUGGCUGUCGUCAGCUCGUGUUGUGAAAUGUUGGGUUAAGUCCCGCAACGAGCGCAACCCUUAUCCUUGUUUGCCAGCACUUCGGGUGGGAACUCCAGGGAGACUGCCGGUGAUAAACCGGAGGAAGGUGGGGACGACGUCAAGUCAUCAUGGCCCUUACGAGUAGGGCUACACACGUGCUACAAUGGCGCAUACAGAGGGCGGCCAACUUGCGAGAGUGAGCGAAUCCCAAAAAGUGCGUCGUAGUCCGGAUCGGAGUCUGCAACUCGACUCCGUGAAGUCGGAAUCGCUAGUAAUCGUGGAUCAGAAUGCCACGGUGAAUACGUUCCCGGGCCUUGUACACACCGCCC
rnacentral:rRNA from 1 species